GUGCUCGCUUCGGCAGUACGUAUACUACAACUGGAAUGGUACAGAGAAGAUUAGCAUGACCCCUGCAGGAGGACAUGCAAAUUCAUAAAGCAUUCCAUAUUUUA
rnacentral:snRNA from 1 species